GUGUUCGCUUGCUUCGGCAGCACAUAUACUAAAAUUGGAAGGAGACAGAGAAGAUUAGUAUGGCCCCUGCUGAAGGAUGACACACAAAUUCAUGUAGCAUUGCUUAUUUAA
ensembl:snRNA U6 U6 spliceosomal RNA